ACGGCGCCGGCCUCGGCGAGCGCCGUCCGCAUCGGCUGGCUGGCCUCGUCGGCGUUGUCCUCCUCCUCCUUGUAGUCGAGGCUCUCGUCGUUGUAGAUGUCCCACCACCUCUUCACCAGCAUCUUUAUAUCUUCUCUGUUCAUGUUCUCCUCCUUCCCGGUGAACCUCCAUGGCUUCGAACCCUGCAAUCAAAUCAUGCCAUCCAUCGCUCGAUCAGAUAAUCGAUCAUUCACCGAUCGAUUCAUCGAAUUAUCGAGAUGAUCGAUCAUGUAAUGCUUACCGCUGCACAGUAAUGGACGACCUUGACCUGGUCGAGGUCGACGUUCUCCGGGUGCCUCCAGAGCAUGGCGAGAACGAGGUUGUAGACGUUGGGGAUGGGCUUGUACUGUUCGCGGAAGAACAUGUUGAGGAAGUCCUGCUCGGCGAACGGGGUGGGCGGCGUGACGACGAGCGCGUCGAGCAGGUCCUUGGCGGUGCCGAGGCCGGGCUCGUGGACGAACAUGCCGGCGUUGAAGUAGAGCGGCGGCGGGGGGCCGAGCUCGCGCUCCGGCCACGCCACCUCGUCGGGGCGCUGCUGGCAGUAGCCGAUGUCGUACUGCGGCGUGUGGCUCCACGUCUUCUCGCAGAAGCAGUCCUUGACGGCGUAGAAGGCGCCCUUGUCGAGGUCGAACAGGUGGUCGAUGUUGUCGAACACCUGUAUGUCGGCGUCGAGGUAGACCAUCCGCUCGUACUCCACGAACUCCCAGAUGCGGAGCUUCGAGUAGUUGAUCACGUAGUAGGCCAUGGCGAACUGCGUCUGGCUCUCCGGCGGGUACACCGGCUGAAUCUCCCGGACCACGCACCCCUGCUCGACCAGCUUCCGCCGGUGCUCGCCGGGGACGUCCGGGAGCACGGCGACCACCAGCGGGUACGCCGAGCGGACGCGGCGGAGCCCCUUGGCGAGCCCCACGACGCCCUUCCAGUAGUCGCCGUCGCCGGCCAGGAACGUCACGUACGCCCUCCUCUUCGCCGCCGCCAACGCCUUCUUCUCCGACGACACGUUCGGCCCCAUCAUCGAUCGAUCAACAAACAAGCUUUGCAAAUGAUCUAGCUAGAUCGAAAUUUGCAAGAGAAAUGUUAAUUUGCUUCAAUGGAUUGGUGUGCUGCAAGAUUUUGAUGAGGAGUUCGUAGCGGGAGGAGGAGUUUAAAUAGGGAGCCUGGUCGCCUCUACCCGUGGCGGUUUUGCGGUUGAGGACGGUUAUCUCGGGGGAUCUGGGACGUACACGUGUCCGGCACGGGAGAUCGAACGGCUGCGGUGGAAAGGACGGGCCUCGGCAGGUUGGCGCGAUAUUUCUUUCUGGAUUUAUGAAGUGGGGUCCACUGAUUAAGUAAGGCUGGGUGCGAUGAAUAUUCGGCGUCAUGGUAUGGCCGGUGAUUACGUGAGCAAAAUCGAAAUGGAUAAAGUGAGUAAAAAAAGGAAGAAAUUAUUACUGACCUGGUUGGUAAAUGUAAAUUAAAGGUAAGAAAGUUAAGGCGGUUGGAAUGUGGUAGAUAGCUCUCUCGAUCGAAUAUUCGAUCGGAUGGUGUUUUUUUUUACUGCCUUUAUCCGUUGCAGUUUGGAAUGCAAUGGGGAUCCUUCCAUAUUUAUUGAUUUUUCUUUCCUUUUAUUUCUGGCCAGCCUUCAAAAUUUAGGCUGUUGAUUUUAAUCGGGGCGGGUUUACUGGGAUUUGAUCGGAGGCUACCUUCAAUUCCUUUUUUUUUAUCUCCUACAUUCAAUUCCUUCAAUUCCUACUGCCUUAACUGAAUGAAAGGAAAUGAAUUAUCGAAAAGAAAAGAAAAAGUAACGGAAGGAGCUAGAAGCUGGAAUGAGGAGCACUCAGACUAUAUGGUAUGAACUUUGGGUAUGUUCAGUAAAUGGGGGUAGAAAAAUAAUAUCACAUCUUUUAAAAAUAAUAUUAAUUGCAUCAUAGUUAUUUAUUUUUCACACCUCGUUUAAUUCUAGUCAUUCAUUCAUCGUCCCUUUUCAUUCUUAUACAUCUCAUAUUACCUCGUUUGCCAAACACACCAUUUGUGGUUUAGAAAAUCUGGUGUCCAUUUAUUCGGAAAUCAAAAAAUGGUCUAAGAGACGACGAUUACGCCAUUUGCAUAAUAUAUUAUAAUAAUUCGGAUGGGAUAAUAAAAGGGAACACGUAGUAUAUUAAAAAAAAAAGGGCUUGCAUGUGUCGCUGGAGUAAAGAACCAACCUGAGGAAACAAUAUUCCGAUGGUUCGCUUUAUAUAUCCGUGAAGGGAGGCACGUGGUGAAAUGGGAGGGGAUUGCAUGGAAAGAAUAUGCAAAUCUCAUCUUCAUUUUUUUUUGGUUGGGGAUAAACGUGCAUGGCCGGUAUCUGCAGAAGCCUCUCCUCCAGUCUUUUAAUUUGUUUCUAGAGUAUUUUGGCAAUCUGGCUACUAGCUAGAGAGUAAAAAUUAAGAAAAAGAAAAGAAUCUGGAACUGCUGCUGGUUGUAGAUGGGCAUAUCAAGGGCAGACACAUGUACGUACGCGUGGGUGCAGAAUUAAGAAACGAUUGAUCCAUUCUGUUGCAACAACACACGUAGUAGAUCAGCUGGUAUACCUAGCUUACCCUUGUUGGGUCAAAUUAAAGGUCUCAAGGAUGACAUAUGUUGCGAUCUGGUCGGUGUGUGUGUGUCAUUCAUAUUCGGUCCUGCUAUGCUAGCUGCUUCUGCUUCUUCUUCUCCUUCUCCGCUAUAUGCGCGUGACUCGUCGGCAUGGCCGCGUGCGCGCUGUCCUGUACAAUAUCUACUGUCCGUAAUAAAUAUAAAUAAUAUGAGCCUAUUUAGAUCGUAGCUAUAAUAAAUCUUAUCAAGUUUCGGUAAUAUUGUUAAAAUUUUGGCAGGAUUUCUUACGUAUUGACCAAAUUUAGCAACAAACUAAAUGUAAACAUUUUUUUUAACUUUGUAAAAAAAUGGUAUGGUUGAAAUGGUAUCAAAGUGAACAUGCCCUAUAUAAUAUAGCUAGAUAAUAUAAGUUUAUAUAAGUUAACAUGGUUUACGAUAAUUUAAACCGUAUACAUAAUGAUGAUCCAAAUGUAAAAGUAAGGUGAUGUGGCUUUACGAGAGAAGAAAAAAAGGAAGGUAAUUUCGAUCGUAGCUUAAUUAAUCAUCUAAGGGUUAAAAAUAAUUAAGAUGAUAUAGCUUAGGGGCAUCCACAAUGUAGUGCAAAAGUAGUCCAUAAGCAAUACAAUAUUUUAUUCAGCCACCUAGCAAUAUUGUGGAACUAGUCCACAGAAAAGAAUAAAUAAUAAAUGCUACCCAUAAGUAUAUGGGAUGGCCAUAGAGAAUAAAAUAUGUUAUUUGUCUCUACUUUCUCUCUCUCCUAAUAUUAUUUGCUAUAUAUAUACAUUGUGAAGGUUACAAUAGUUAAAGCUCAUAUAUAUAUAUAUAUAUAUAUAUAUAUAUAUAUAUAUAUAUAUAUAUAUAUAUAUAUAUAUAUAUAUAUAUAUAUGGGUCCCAUCUAUAUGGACUAGUUUUUCUAUAUACAUUAGUGUUGCCCUGAUGAGAGUAUAAAAUAAGAAAAAAAAUUGGACUAUAGAUUAAUCAUAUAAGGGCUUAAAAAAAUUGAUACGUUAUGGCUUAAUGAGAGAAGAAGAAAAUAGCAUUAACUAAGUGAUGAUGAACUCUGUAGGUAUAUAGAGUCCUAUGAAAAAUAGUGAAGAAAUAUAUUCAAAUAUUAUAUGAAUUAUGUGGGAUGAUGAUUUUAUAGAAUUAUAGAUAAUACAACAUACUUGUAUGAUAUUUUAGAAUGGUGCAAAGAAAUAACAAAUCCUAUCAUAUCUUAUAACCCACUAAAUUCUAAAGUUCAACAUGCAAGUCCUUGCAUGUUAAACUUUAGAUUGCAUGUUGAACUUUAGAAUUUAGUGGGUUAUAAGAUAUCCUUGCAUGUUGAACUUUAGGAUUUAGUGGGUUAUAAGAUAUGACAGGAUUUGUCCUUACAAGGUUUGGUUCACUUCAACACCGAUCCACAUACUAUACACAUUUUGGCUGUAUAUAUCCACACCUGAACACAUUGGCUUCUGGGCAUCUCAGUGGGGGUGGCUCUGAGCAUGCGGGAUAGGAGCUUGACUAGCAUGACGAGGCAGAAUCCCCAACCCUCACGCGCACAAGUGAAGGCGACAUUAUAGUUGCAGUUGGGACCCAGCCGCCACACGUGCACAGGUCCAUGACGCGAUCACUCCCGGCCGUUGGGAGCCACUCACCCGGGGGCCUUCGUCGCUGAGCUUGUCCCCGAUGGCUGCCACCCUUCUCCCCUACUCAUUGUCGGCUGACCUGGAGGUUGCGUUGAGAUGGGAAGGAGGUGGAAGAAGAUUGCCAGUUGAUAUGCGGGGUCUACAUGGGUCCCACACUGACUCAACCGUCAAGUCACCAAAACUGGAGAGCGAUACUGUCUUAUAACCAAAUGUGACAUGGUUUUACAAGAUUCUGGUAUUCCGGUUCAAGGACGGGUUUAACACUCGAUGACAAGAUAAAGGACUGCAGGUGAACUUUUUCCGAGAUGAAAAAUUUCCAGCCUCAUGGGCCUGUGCAUAUGACCCAUAGGCCAUAGGCAGGCCGCAGGCGGCAGCAGAGCGACUUCCCCAAUCCAUCAUCCCGUCUCCGUCCUCGCCCGCCGCCGCCGCCGCCGCCGAUCUCCAUCCUGCGAGGUGGCGCCGGCUUCCGCCGCAUCAUCGCUCACCGUUGAGCAUCCUAAUCCAUCCCAUCCGCCCUCCUCGCCCGCCGCUUCCGCCGAUCCCCAUCCUAGCCAUCACCAUCACGCACGCCACGCCAUCCGCCUCCAUCCCUCGCCGCCGCCGUGCACCACCGCCGUCAUCCGCCUCUUCCUCUUCUUCUUGCUCCACAAGUAAUCUCAUCUCCCUCGAUCUCCUCUUCUCUCCAUUUCUCUCCGUGUAGAGAAAGGAGGUGGAGACAGGGGUUGGGGAACACCGCCGCGUAGAUAAGGCCCUUCUUCCAUUCGGUAUGCCUAUCAUUUUUCGAUUUUGCGCAACACGUGAUCAAUUGUUCUGAUUAUAUUUCAAAUAAUUAAUCAAAUUAUCCAGCUCCGUAAUAAUUAGGGUUCCCCACUUUCUUCAUUUUUUUGUACACUGAUAAUUGCUUCAGGUCAAAAUUGAUACAACAAGGCAAACACGCACUAUCUUUGCAAUACAUUAAUUUUAAUACUACACAAGGCAAACGGCAAACUUCUUUAUUUUAGUAAUCGUACUACAUUUCAGUGUUGUUCUUUCGAUGUUCUUGAAAAUCACCACAAAUUUAGUUUUCUUGAAUGCCAGUUUUUAGUACCGCAAUCCAAAUUCAGACUUUCAAUAUCAAUCAUUUGGCAAUUAAAAAAAAAUCACAUAUAGAUACAAAGAGAUUCAUUUUACUUUGAACGCUCCCAUAUCAUGAUAUGGAGCUAAUCUGCUAGUCAAACACUUCUAAAAGGGAUUAUGACUGAUUAAGGGGAAAUCAAGAUUCAGAGCCUUACCAAAUUGUUUGGUGAAUUUGUUAGUGUAGACUAUGACUUCAGUAAUGUGCAAGAGUAGCAUUAAAGUAGAAAAGUACAACGUAGAGUUCUAACACCUGUUUAGACCGUGCUCAAAUCCUUUCCUCGUUAUUGUGGCAUGGUGCUUAUAUUAUAACUGAUUCAAUAUUCUGAAUAAACCUAUUCCAGGUUCUAUCACAGAGAUGAUGGCUGUGACAAAUGGAGUAAUCCAUGCAUCUUCUAGGGAACCCUUAUUUUCCUUCGGUGUCAUUGCUGAUGUCCAGUACGCUGAUAUUCCAGAUGGUCGCUCAUUCCUUGGUGUCCCACGCUACUACCGUCAUAGCAUCAGCGUCCUCCAAAGGGCUGUCAGCACAUGGAACAAACAACACAACAUCAAGUUUUCAAUCAACUUUGGUGACAUCAUUGAUGGAUAUUGCCCAAAGGACAAAUCGUUGUGGGCAGUGCAGAAGGUCCUUGAUGAGUUUGAGAAAUUUGAUGGCCCAACUUACCACAUGUUUGGGAACCAUUGCCUCUAUAACCUUCCUCGUGGCAAGCUAGUAUCGUUGCUGAAGAUGCCAACCGAUUCUGAUCGUGCAUACUAUGACUUCUCUCCAUGUCCCGAGUACAGAUUUGUUGUCCUGGACGCUUAUGACUUCAGUGCACUUGGCUGGCCCCGUGACCAUCCAGUGACUGCCGAAGCAAUGAAGUUCCUGGAAGAAAAGAACCCAAACUCUGACAAGAACAGCCCUGACGGUCUGGUUGGCGUUGACCGGCGGUUUGUGAUGUUUAAUGGUGGAGUUGGUAAAGAGCAGUUGUCAUGGCUCAAUGAUGUCCUCCAGGAUGCAUCAGCACGCCGGCAAAAUGUCAUCCUAUGCAGUCAUCUCCCAAUGGAUCCUGGCUCAGCUUCUUUUGCAGCUCUCAUGUGGAACUACGAUGAGGUGAUGGCUAUUGUUCGCCAGUACAAAUGUGUUAAGGCAUGCUUUGCCGGGCACGACCACAAGGGAGGUCACUCUGUGGACUCGCAUGGCGUACAUCACCGGACUCUUGAGGCUGCAUUGGAGUGUCCUCCUGGUACUAGUGCAUUCGGGCACAUCGAAGUGUAUCCAGACAAGUUGUUGCUUGUGGGUUCUGAUAAAAUGGCUGAUACUGAGAUGUGUUUUGAGCCCUAGAGUGAACUGUGUAGCGGAGGGAAAUUCAUCCAACUUCAUUGUUUUGAUUAAUAUUCAGAAACAUGUGACUUCAUUAUACUCAUUUUCUGGCAGCAUAAUUACAUGUAUGUAAUAGCAUGGAAACUGGAGGUGGCAGCAGCUGCUAUGCUUGCCGCUUAAUCUCCCCUCCUCUCUCCCAAGAGGAAAGAGGCAGCAAGAUGAAAAGCAACCGAAAGGUAAAUAAAGUAGGAUAACUUUUUCCAUGAUAAUAUCACAAAUUAGAACAUGCUUGUUUCUUGAAUAUUGGACAAAUAUCAGAAAAUAGAGUGUGGUAAUUUUAGAAAUGAAUCAAUCCAACGAUUGCUUCUUGCCUGUUCCCUUUGUUUCACAACCACCUAUGGGUAUUCAAUAUGCUAAUAUUUAUCUGGCAUUGUUUAUGUGCCAUAUAUCUCACUGUAACUGCAAGAUGCAGAGAAUACUAUCUUCCUGGGGUGGUACCUUAGCUUUUGCCCAGUAAUUUUCACCGUUAACCAUAUUUUCCUGACCCUGUUUGGAUUUGUAAUGUUUUCAAUUUUCCUUUAAGAGAAUUGAAAUGGUUCCUGUAGAUAGUCUUUUCUGUCUCUCUACUUGUGUGAACUCUGAACCAACAUUGGUCAAACUUAUGCAGCCAAUUUGACGAUCAAGUGAAAAGCUUAUCAUGUCUAAUAUGCAUAUUUACACAUUGAUGACUACAUCGCCAACCAACUGAACUACUAUCAAGUAUCAUCUGGCACUUAAGAUACAAUAUUGUUCACAUCCUUCGAUGCCAUUUGAUCAAGUGAUCAUUAUCUACAAAAGAAUUAAUUGAUCAUCUGUCCAAUUCUGAAUUACUGAUUUUCUUCUCCAGGGGUGAGAAGACCUUCUGCAGUCACGAAUGCUGCUACCAAGAGAUGUUCCUUUUUGUAACUUGUCAAUUCAAUUAGCCAGGAUAAUUUCCAAAUGUCCGAUCAACAUGAUCUGCCUCAAGCCCUCUUGCUUUUCUUGUUCUUGUAGAGUGAUUGUUGACCAAUUAGGAGCUAGUGUUCAGAGUUGAGAUUAAAAUCCUCAUUGUGAGAUGCACAUCAAUUCUGGUUGUCUGAAAUGUUGCAGUUUUUAUAUGACUGUUAUAUCAAUAUAAGUAAAGCUGCCAGGAUGUUCAUCAGUUUGUACUGCUCCCACACAAAUGCAUGCUGGAUACGAAAACGGACUGGCAGGUGGCAGCCCCCCUCUGUAUACAGUACUACAUACGAAACGGGAAAAAAGAGAGGGGGGUUUUUAAGGAUAGGAGGACUGGUCCCUGACAGGCAGAGGCCUAGCC
rnacentral:lncRNA from 1 species